rnacentral:rRNA from 1 species
UAGCGAAAGCUAGUAACCCUAAAGGUAAUAUUAAUUUACUUAAAUAAAGUUCUAAAUAAAAUUAUGAUAAUGACAUAUUUUAUUUAUUAGUCUUGGCUAAUUUGCGUGCCAGCAGUCGCGGUAAUACGUAUAAGACAAGUGUUAUUCAUCUUUAACAGGUUUAAAGGGUACCUAGACAGUAAAAUAAGCCGUAAGGUACUAAUUUACUAGAGUUACUUAUAAGGGGGCUAAUAGGUACUAGUGGUGGAGAGAUGAAAUUCUUUGAUACCUCGCCCUGGAAGGUGAACAUGGCACAGAUUAAGGCGUAAGCUUCUCUUUAUGUGAUAGCUUCAUGUAACAAAAAGGAUUAGAUACCCUCGUAGUUGAAGGCAGACAAUGAUGAGUGUCAUAAGGUACUUUACCAUAUAAACGAUAGUGUAAGCACUCCACCUCAAGAGUAAUUUGGCAACAUUGGAACUGAAAUCAUUAGACCGUUUCUGAAAACAGUAGUGAAGUAUGUUGUUUAAUUUGAUGAUCCGCAAAAAACCUUACCAUGAAUAUUUACAGGAGCUGCACGGCUGUCUUCAGCUAAUGUCGUGAGAUUUUGGUUAGCUCCAUUAAAUUAGCGUAAACCCUUACUUUAUUUUUAAAUAAAGUAGUUCUCUUUUAUAUAGGAUAAGAUAAUAGGGGCUAAGACAAGUCAUCAUGGCCAUAACUGUAGUAAACUUUUACAAAAGGAUGUAAAAUUGUGAAAUUAAGCUA